rnacentral:rRNA from 1 species
UAACGGCCCACCAAGGCAACGAUCAGUAGGGGUUCUGAGAGGAAGGUCCCCCACAUUGGAACUGAGACACGGUCCAAACUCCUACGGGAGGCAGCAGUGAGGAAUAUUGGUCAAUGGACGAGAGUCUGAACCAGCCAAGUAGCGUGCAGGAAGACGGCCCUAUGGGUUGUAAACUGCUUUUAUAAGGGAAUAAAGUGAGUCUCGUGAGACUUUUUGCAUGUACCUUAUGAAUAAGGACCGGCUAAUUCCGUGCCAGCAGCCGCGGUAAUACGGAAGGUCCGGGCGUUAUCCGGAUUUAUUGGGUUUAAAGGGAGCGUAGGCCGGAGAUUAAGCGUGUUGUGAAAUGUAGAUGCUCAACAUCUGCACUGCAGCGCGAACUGGUUUCCUUGAGUACGCACAAAGUGGGCGGAAUUCGUGGUGUAGCGGUGAAAUGCUUAGAUAUCACGAAGAACUCCGAUUGCGAAGGCAGCUCACUGGAGCGCAACUGACGCUGAAGCUCGAAAGUGCGGGUAUCGAACAGGAUUAGAUACCCUGGUAGUCCGCACGGUAAACGAUGGAUGCCCGCUGUUGGUCUGAAUAGGUCAGCGGCCAAGCGAAAGCAUUAAGCAUCCCACCUGGGGAGUAC